GAUGAACGCUGGCGGUAUGCCUAACACAUGCAAGUCGUACGAGAGUUUUUAACUCUAGUGGCGGACGGGUGAGUAACACGUGAGAAUUUGCCUUUAGGAGGGGGAUAACAAUUGGAAACGAAUGCUAAUACCCCAUAUGCUUUUGAGUGAAAUGGAUUUUAUCCGCCUAGAGAGAAGCUCGCGGCUGAUUAGCUUGUUGGUAAGGUAAGAGCUUACCAAGGCGACGAUCAGUAUCUGGUUUGAGAGGACGAUCAGACACACUGGAACUGAGACACGGUCCAGACUCCUACGGGAGGCAGCAGUGGGGAAUUUUGGACAAUGGACGCAAGUCUGAUCCAGCCAUUCCGCGUGCAGGAUGAAGGCCUCGGGUUGUAAACCUCUUUUUCUAGGGAGGAAUAAAAUAGACGUGUACCUGAAGAAUAAGCAUCGGCUAACUCCGUG
rnacentral:rRNA from 1 species